rnacentral:rRNA from 1 species
AUUGAACGCUGGCGGCAGGCCUAACACAUGCAAGUCGAGCGGAUGAAGGGAGCUUGCUCCUGGAUUCAGCGGCGGACGGGUGAGUAAUGCCUAGGAAUCUGCCUGGUAGUGGGGGAUAACGUCCGGAAACGGGCGCUAAUACCGCAUACGUCCUGAGGGAGAAAGUGGGGGAUCUUCGGACCUCACGCUAUCAGAUGAGCCUAGGUCGGAUUAGCUAGUUGGUGGGGUAAAGGCCUACCAAGGCGACGAUCCGUAACUGGUCUGAGAGGAUGAUCAGUCACACUGGAAAUGAGAAACGGUCCAGACUCCUACGGGAGGCAGCAGUGGGGAAUAUUGGACAAUGGGCGAAAGCCUGAUCCAGCCAUGCCGCGUGUGUGAAGAAGGUCUUCGGAUUGUAAAGCACUUUAAGUUGGGAGGAAGGGAAGUAAGUUAAUACCUUGCUGUUUUGACGUUACCAACAGAAUAAGCACCGGCUAACUUCGUG